UACAGAGGUCUCAAGCGUUGUUCGGAUUCAUUGGGCGUAAAGGGUGUGUAGGUGGCGCGCUAAGUCGGGUGUGAAAUUUCGGAGCUUAACUCCGAAACUGCAUUCGAUACUACCGUGCUUGAGGGCUGGAGAGGAGACUGGAAUUUACGGUGUAGCGGUGAAAUGCGUAGAUAUCGUAAGGAAGACCAGUGGCGAAGGCGGGUCUCUGGACAGUUCCUGACGCUGAGGCACGAAGGCCAGGGGAGCAAACGGG
rnacentral:rRNA from 1 species